CCUACGGGAGGCAGCAGUGGGGAAUUUUGGACAAUGGGCGCAAGCCUGAUCCAGCCAUACCGCGUGUGGGAAGAAGGCCUUCGGGUUGUAAACCACUUUUGUCAGGGAAGAAACGGCUUUUUCUAAUACAGAGAGCUAAUGACGGUACCUGAAGAAUAAGCACCGGCUAACUACGUGCCAGCAGCCGCGGUAAUACGUAGGGUGCAAGCGUUAAUCGGAAUUACUGGGCGUAAAGCGUGCGCAGGCGGCUUUGCAAGACAGAUGUGAAAUCCCCGGGCUCAACCUGGGAACUGCAUUUGUGACUGCAUGGCUAGAGUACGGUAGAGGGGGAUGGAAUUCCGCGUGUAGCAGUGAAAUGCGUAGAUAUGCGGAGGAACACCGAUGGCGAAGGCAAUCCCCUGGACCUGUACUGACGCUCAUGCACGAAAGCGUGGGGAGCAAACAGGAUUAGAUACCCUGGUAGUCCACGCCCUAAACGAUGUCAACUGGUUGUUGGACGGCUUGCUGUUCAGUAACGAAGCUAACGCGUGAAGUUGACCGCCUGGGGAGUACGGCCGCGAAGGUUGAAACUUAAAGGAAUUGACGG
rnacentral:rRNA from 1 species